rnacentral:lncRNA from 1 species
UCCGAGCCAGGGAGCCCAGGGCAUGUCCCUUCUAAACAAAGGUCACUCAUUUCUUUAAUUUAAACAGAAGGGAUUUUGUUUCUGGCUUUCUUCUGAGGCGCUGGUGACUGGGUGGUACUGCAGCUGCCGUGUCUUCAGGAUUAACAGAAGAAUUUUGGUUAGGAACCUGAGAGCCACACGAAGAUUGUGGUUUCCAAGUUGGAGGGCUUGGAAAGGGGAGCAUCAUACUCUGAGUUCUUGAGGUUUCCAGUGUUCAAGGCACCCAUCUGCUCACCCAGAGCUGGAAGCCCAUUACAAUGCACCCCUUGUUAUGCUUAGAAUUUAAGAUGAUAUUUUUUUCUAUUUUAGUUAAUGGCCUGAGAAUGAGAUUUUGGUUGUUGGCAAUAAAUUGCAUAUUCGGGGAUAUUGGUGCAGAGGGACUCUAAUUCAGUCUUUUUAUAGUAUCCUUUCCCCCCUCUGGUCUGGAGAAUUCUUUUAAGGUGGUGGGGGUGAUUAAUGACCCCAUGUGCCUGUGUGCACACAGGGCCCACGUGUCCUCAAAAUGGGGAGGCCAGGGAUCCUGGAGACCACGCCCAUGGCAGAGGAGGGAAUUGAAACACUAUGUUCUCUGCCAAGUUCCACCCCAGCACAAACAGGGAUGAAUAGAUUAGUGAUGGAAUGUGCUCCAGGCUGUCCUCAGAUGUACAAGUCCAGCAUCCUUCCUCUUGGCUCAAAAGUAUAAAGGAGACAGGAGGCAUAGGAAAAAAAUCCUUCUCCUCCUCCUCUUCUUCCUCUUCCACGUCUUCAUCUUCUUCCUCCUCUCCUGUUUCUUUUACUUUGAAAUUAAAAUGCCUGCUGUUUAAGCAAUGGAUCAGACACUAGAUGGCAGGGGACGGAAGCUAUGUGACAGUCACUCCUCAUCACUAUGGCAAAAUGCCUGAGGAAGUGAAGGAACCUGCAGGAAGAAAGAAAGAUUUUGGCUCACACACUCAGAGGUUUCCAUUUGUGUUCAGGCCGCAGGGCUAAUGGCCCUGUGGUAUCUCCUCAGGACAAACAGGAAGCAGAGAAAGCAAAAGGAAGAUAUGUAGGCUCUACUUCUUAACAGUUCACUCAACUAUGAACUCAUCAACAAACUGAUCUACUGGUAGAAUUAUCAUAGUCGUGACUCGGUACCUCAGUGUGCCACUAACUGGGAACCAAGGUUUCAGUACAGAAGGCUUUUGAAGAUAUACCUUAUAUCUAAAUCAAAAUAAGAGGGAACUCUUGUUGGGUGCUCCCGCACUGCCAAGCAGAAAGGUAAGGUCUUCCAGCCCACACUGGAAAGAGCCACAGUGUGAUGAAGCUUGUGACACAGACACCACAUGUCUAGAGGGUCUAGAAGACAUCACAUGUCUACAAGGUCUAGAAGUUAUGAGACCCGACUCAGCUUAGAAGACAGAACAGGAGCCAUGAGUAAAACAGAGUAGAGGGUGGUCUAGAUAGAAUAGCUUUUACAUGUCCAGUGUGAGUUUCAAUUCACUUCUACUGAAAAUGAGGCUAUGGGGGUGUUUUUAAGCAGGAGAUAGGACAGACACUUGAGAGUUGUACACACCCUGUGGCAGGAGUGUGUAGGGUAGAGAAGAGUAUGGAGAUUCACACAUUAACUAAGACAGUCGGCAGAGGGAGAGUGGAAACCCAUCUGACCUUAGUCUACAUGUAACAAAACAGAGUAACUGCAGGCUUGUGAAAUCUCCCAGAGAAGGCUGAUGUAAGUAAAUGGCUUAGGAGAGCUGUUUGUCUUUAUUCCACAUUGGAAGACCAAAGAAAUUAGGUUUGGAUGUCAGCAGCAGCAGUAGCAACAACAGCAGCUGCAGCAGCAGCAGCAACAGCAGCAGCAACAACAACAACAAUAACAACAACAAUUCAAUAGAUGCAUUUGCCAGCAAAGAGAGAAGGCAGAACUCCCGUACCUGAGGUGUAGGGACCGCUACGGGACAGAGGAGAGGAGAGAUUGUAAGAGCCAGAGAACAGGGAGUCUGCUGUGUGGUUGUUUGAGACUGAGUGAGAUUGCGCCUCCUAAAAGUGACAGGGAUGCUACGUUCAUGAUCCAUCAACAAUGUCUCUCAAACAAGACCUCAACAGUAGAAACACCAGUAGACAUGCUAACAUGGAGGGGAAAAUCUCAAGGAGUCCCAUCCUAGACACAGAACUACAGGCAACUGACGACUUCUGAGAGGGAGCGUGAAUCUUUCCUAGGGAUGAGUCCCGUAAUUGGUUAUCCAAUCUAAGUGGUCUGCUCUGAAAUAAUAUACAAGUAAACAACACAAAAUUUAUUCAGUGGGUUGUAUUUAUGUACUUAUAUUUAUGCAUAGGUGUGUGUGUGUGUGUGUGUGUUGUGUGUGUGUGUGUAAAAC